AUUGAACGCUGGCGGAAUGCUUUACACAUGCAAGUCGAACGGUAGAGGGGGCAACCCCUUGAGAGUGGCGAACGGGUGAGUAAUAUAUCGGAACGUGCCCAGUCGUGGGGAUAACGUAGCGAAAGUUACGCUAAUACCGCAUACGAUCUAAGGAUGAAAGCGGGGGACUCGCAAGAGCCUCGCGCGAUUGGAGCGGCCGAUAUCAGAUUAGGUAGUUGGUGAGGUAAAGGCUCACCAAGCCAACGAUCUGUAGCUGGUCUGAGAGGACGACCAGCCACACUGGAACUGAGACACGGUCCAGACUCCUACGGGAGGCAGCAGUGGGGAAUUUUGGGACAAUGGACGCAAGUCUGAUCCAGCCAUUCCGCGUGCAGGAUGAAGGCCCUCGGGUUGUAAACUGCUUUGUACGGAACGAAAGGUUUGUCUUAAUACGAUGAGCUCAUGACGGUACCGUAGAAUAAGCACCGGCUAACUACGUGCCAGCAGCCGCGGUAA
rnacentral:rRNA from 1 species